rnacentral:rRNA from 1 species
AUUGAACGCUGGCGGCAGGCCUAACACAUGCAAUUCGAACGAGUGGAGGACUGGUGAGUAAUUUCUGGGAAACUCCCCGAUGGAGGGGGAUAACUACUGGAAACGGUAGCUAAUACCGCAUACCAUCGGAUGUGCCCAGCUGGGCUUAGCUAGUAGGUGGGGUAACGGCUCACCUAGGCGACGAUCCCUAGCUGGUCUGAGAGGAUGACCAGCAACACUGGAACUGAGACACGGUCCAGACUCCUACGGGAGGCAGCAGUGGGGAAUAUUGCACAAUGGGCGCAAGCCUGAUGCAGCAAUGCCGCGUGUAUGAAGAAGGCCUUCGGGUUGUAAAGUACUUUCAGCGAGGAGGCGUUACUCGCAGAAGAAGCACCGGCUAACUCCGUGCCAGCAGCCGCGGUAAUUC